rnacentral:lncRNA from 1 species
UUUUACCGAAGUAGUAGAACAAUGCAGACAUUUAUUAGAAGUUUGCUCCUUUGAAAUAUUAUUAUUACACUGAAAGUUGGAAAAAAGCUAAACAUCCAUCAGAGGAGGUUGAUUACAUAAAUUAUGAAAGAUCCAUAUUUUUUAAUUCUAUGAAGCCAUAAAAUGAUAAUACUGAUAUGUAUCAUUGAACCCACCACUGAUUGUUUGAUAAAAAUUUCAGAUACCAAGAAUUACAUAUAAAUUAGAGUUGGUUUUGUAAUAUACAGCAUAGAAAUACAUACUUUUCUAUUAUUAAAUAUUUACUGAUUUCUGAAUACUUACACAUGUAUAAGAUAGGUAUUUAGAAAGAUUAAAGAGGGCAUACAGCACACAGACGUUUCUCAUUCCUAUCUCCCAUCUCCUUUCCCAGAGACAGUUUCUAAAACAAAACUGAGGAAAAUACUAACAUCAUUCGUCUAAUAAGAGCAAUGAGGUAUGUAAUACUAAUGAAUCUUAAAACAUAUCAUAUAAAAAACACUAGAUAACUGGACUAAGUAGUGCAAACGUGAAUGUCUAUCUAAAACACACACGUCGCACACACACGAUAAUGAAUGGAAGACGUCCUAGCACAUGUUUACAAACUGUUUGUGUGUUGCCGUCCUACACACCAGACGCAAAGCGCUGAAAACAACAAGCCUGUUCACAAUAGCACCAGGAACGUACAGUACACAGGAAUCAUCUGCAGGUGAUUUGUGACAACUGUAGGCAGAACAGUAAAAGCGAGAGAUACAAUGGAUGACGUCCUAGCACAUGUUUACAAACUGGUUGUGUGUUGCCGUCCUACACACCAGAGGCAAAGCGCUGAAAACAACAAGCCUGUUCACAAUAGCACCAGGAACGUACAGUACACAGGAAUCAUCUGCAGGUGAUUUGUGACAACUGUAGGCAGAACAGUAAAAGCGAGAGAUACAAUGGAUGGUUUGAAAAAUCAGAGACACUCUUCUUCCUUACCGAAUUGCAAGAUUAACGUUGUACUACGCAGACAAAGGUGUGUUCAAGAUUUGGAUCGUAAGCGAGUUCACUGAAAACUAGCGGAGGGGAAGGGCAAAUACUGGAAGGGAAUCCCCGGUGUGACCAGGCCAGAAACACCUCUUUCACAGCAUGGGAUCUGUGCAGGUACUCGGACGCUCCCCGCAGGGCCGCCCGGGCCGGUUUCAGGCGGGCUUGCGGCCCCAAUCACUGCUCCUGUUCGCGGGGACAGGCAGGGGCUGACUGGGAGGACGUCUUGUGGAUGGCCUUGUGCUCCUCGGCGGCCUCCUCCCCCGGGUCGCCACCGCCGACCUCCUCGAUGAC